UGGGAACAUUGGGAUCAUACUGGGAUCAUACUGGGAUUGAACUGGGAUCAUACUGGGAUUAUACUGGGAUUAUACUGGGAUUGUAGUGGGAUUAUACUGGGAUUAUACUGGGAUUAUACUGGGAUCAUACUGGUUUAUACUGGUGCCCGCAGAGCACUGGGGCUGGGCUUGUGAAUGGGUUGGGGCACUGGGAUCAUACUGGGAUCAAACUGGGAUUGUACUGGGAUUAUACUGGGAUUAUAGUGGGAUCAUAUUGGUUUAUACUGGUUUAUACUGGUGCCUGCAGAGCACUGGGGCUGGGCUUGUGGAUGGGUUGGGGCACUGGGAUCAUACUGGGAUCAUACUGGGAUCAUUAUGGGAUCAUACUGGGAUCAUACUGGUUUAUACUGGUUUAUACUGGUUUAUACUGGUUUCUGCUGGUUUAUACUGGUUUCUACUAGUUUAUACUGGUGCCCGCAGAGCCGGUCUUGUAGAUGUGUUGGGGCACUGGGCUCAUUCUGGGAUCAUACUGGGACCAUACUGGUUUAUACUGGUUUAUACUGGUUUAUACUGGUUUGUACUGGUUUAUACUGGUUUCCACAGAUCCGCCGCCCUCGCUGCUGGCCCUGCGCGAGACCACCAAGAACCGGCUGCUGGUGGCCCAGGGGGCGCUGCUGCUGCUCUGCGCCGUGGGGCCGGGGCUGCUGCUGCUGCUCAGGGUAAGCCCCGCCCCCUGGGGUUAAGCCCCGCCCCCUGGGGUUAAGCCCCGCCCCCUGCGGUUUAGCCCCGCCCCCCUGGGAUUUAGCCCCCCCCCCCGAGGAGCUAGCCCCGCCCCCUUGGAGUCUCCCCCUACCCCAUAUUUGGUCUGGCCCCGCCCCCUUAUGCCCUGGCCACGCCCCCUUUGGGAUCUGGCCCCGCCCCCUUGGGACAUGGCCCCGCCCCCCUUUGGGCUCUGGCCCCGCCCCCUGACCCUUGGCCC
rnacentral:lncRNA from 1 species